AUUGGCAUGGAUCCAUGAUAUGUUUGGACGCAUCCACGAAAAUGUAGGGGGUGUUCCUUAAAACAAUUAUACUG
rnacentral:ribozyme from 1 species